UUAAGUUCAGCGGGUAGUCCUACCUGAUUUGAGAUCAAACGUUCAAAAAGCUGUCCUCGCUGUGGAGAGACAUUUAUGAGCCCCAGCGAACCUCCAUUGCUGAAGGUUACCUGGUGGGAGACCACAAGCGUAGAUAGUUAUCACACCUGUGAUGCCACCAAACACUGGCAAGCUGAUUCGUUUGAGAGGAGCCGACCGUA
rnacentral:misc_RNA from 1 species